rnacentral:rRNA from 1 species
UACGUAGGGGGCAAGCGUUGUCCGGAAUUACUGGGCGUAAAGGGCUCGUAGGCGGCCAACUAAGUCAGACGUGAAAUCCCUCGGCUUAACCGGGGAACUGCGUCUGAUACUGGAUGGCUUGAGUGUGGGAGAGGAAUGCGGAAUUCCAGGUGUAGCGGUGAAAUGCGUAGAUAUCUGGAGGAACACCGGUGGCGAAGGCGGCAUUCUGGACCAUUACUGACGCUGAGGAGCGAAAGCCAGGGGAGCAAACGGG